ACGCACGCUGGCGGCGUGCUUAACACAUGCAAGUCGAACGGAAAGGCCCUGCUUUUGUGGGGUGCUCGAGUGGCGAACGGGUGAGUAACACGUGAGUAAUCUGCCCUUGACUUUGGGAUAACUUCAGGAAACUGGGGCUAAUACCGGAUAGGAGCUCCUGCUGCAUGGUGGGGGUUGGAAAGUUUCGGCGGUUGGGGAUGGACUCGCGGCUUAUCAGCUUGUUGGUGGGGUAGUGGCUUACCAAGGCUUUGACGGGUAGCCGGCCUGAGAGGGUGACCGGCCACAUUGGGACUGAGAUACGGCCCAGACUCCUACGGGAGGCAGCAGUGGGGAAUAUUGCACAAUGGGCGGAAGCCUGAUGCAGCAACGCCGCGUGCGGGAUGACGGCCUUCGGGUUGUAAACCGCUUUCGCCUGUGACGAAGCGUGAGUGACGGUAAUGGGUAAAGAAGCACCGGCUAACUACGUG
rnacentral:rRNA from 1 species